CCUACGGGAGACAGCAGUGGGGGAUAUUGCACAAUGGGGGGAACCCUGAUGCAGCGACGCCGCGUGGGUGAAGGAGCGUUUCGGCGCGUAAAGCCCUAUCGGCAGGGAAGAAGAUGACGGUACCUUACCAAGAAGCCCCGGCUAACUACGUGCCAGCCGCCGCGGUAAUACGUAGGGGGCAAGCGUUAUCCGGAUUUACUGGGUGGAAAGGGGGCGCAGACGGCAAUGCAAGCCAGGAGUGAAAGCCCGGGGCCCAACCCCGGGACUGCUCUUGGAACUGCAUGGCUGGAGUACAGGAGGGGCAGGCGGAAUUCCUAGUGUAGCGGUGAAAUGCGUAGAUAUUAGGAGGAACACCGGUGGCGAAGGCGGCCUGCUGGACUGUGACUGACGUUGAGGCCCGAAGGCGUGGGGAGCAAACAGGAUUAGAUACCCCUGUAGUC
rnacentral:rRNA from 1 species